UUUCUGCAAUCGAUUUUGGAGCGGUUUACCUUGAGUUUGACUCUAUUAUUUGCUCGUGUAUUGUUGUGGUUGAAGCUGAAGUAUUCAUUGAAAGACCCCUUGACUGAAGGAAAAAGCAGGGUCUGCCCUGGGUGACAACAGCAUGAAUGGGAUGCAAAAGACGGAACAACAAACAAACAACAGAGUAAAGGAGGGGAUCCUUCGGUCAGUAGAAUGAAACACUGAAUUGUUCAGUACUCUGAGGUUGGCCUGGAAACAAGAUUUGAAUCCAUUGAUUUUAAAGUAAUCGAUUUUAAAGUAAAAUAAUGUAAAAUAAUGCUUUGGCUGAAACCCAACAAUAUGCUAUGUAAGCACAUACAGCAUUUCAAUUUCACUUGAUAUAUUUUAUGAUGUGUUCUUGGCUAUGCCACAGAUAUUUUUUCAGUCAAAUGGGGAUUAUAUAACUUGUAUGCCGACAAAAGAAUUCAUAUGUGUGUGCGUGCACACACACACACAG